UACGGGGGGGUAAGCGUUGUUCGGAAUUACUGGGCGUAAAGGGCUCGUAGGCGGCCAACUAAGUCAGACGUGAAAUCCCUCAGCUUAACUGGGGACUGCGUCUGAUACUGGAUGGCUUGGAUUCGGGAGAGGAAUGCGGAAUUCCGAGGUGUAGCGGUGAAAUGCGUAGAUAUCUGGAGGAACACCGGUGGCGAAGGCGGCAUUCUGGACCGACAUUGACGCUGAGGAGCGAAAGCCAGGG
rnacentral:rRNA from 1 species